AGGUAUAUGAGUCUAGUUUCAAGGAAAGUUAACGUAACUUAAUUUGGAGUUUCAUAGAUUCAGAUAUAAAUGCUUUAGUAACUGUAACUUGAUAAACUAGCUUAACCUGAACAUGUGGAAUUAUACAAUUAUAGUGUUUUAUCUUGAAAAGCAUGUUAGUAAUUACUUAUUAAUUUCAUAUGGACUUACUAAGCGUAAAGCUUACCCCUCC
rnacentral:lncRNA from 1 species